UACGGAGGGUGCAAGCGUUGUCCGGAAUCACUGGGCGUAAAGGGCGCGUAGGCGGCUCAUGAAGGCUGUGGUGAAAGUCCGGGGCUCAACCUCGGAUCGGCCGUGGCGACUCGUGGGCUGGAGCACUGUAGAGGCGGGUGGAAUUCCGGGUGUAGCGGUGGAAUGCGUAGAGAUCCGGAGAACACCAGUGGCGAAGGCGGCCCGCUGGGCAGUGGCUGACGCUGAGGCGCGACAGCGUGGGGAGCAAACAGG
rnacentral:rRNA from 1 species